rnacentral:rRNA from 1 species
GAUGAACGCUAGCUACAGGCUUAACACAUGCAAGUCGAGGGGAAACGGCAUUAAGUGCUUGCACUUUUUGGACGUCGACCGGCGCACGGGUGAGUAACGCGUAUCCAACCUUCCCAUGACUAAGGGAUAACCUGCCGAAAGGCAGACUAAUACCUUAUGGUCUUCACUGACGGCAUCAGAUGUGAAGUACAGAUUUAUCGGUUAUGGAUGGGGAUGCGUCUGAUUAGCUUGUUGGCGGGGUAACGGCCCACCAAGGCAACGAUCAGUAGGGGUUCUGAGAGUAAGGUCCCCCACAUUGGAACUGAGACACGGUCCAAACUCCUACGGGAGGCAGCAGUGAGGAAUAUUGAUCAAUGGGCGAGAGCCUGAACCAGCCAAGUAGCGUGCAGGAUGACGGCCCUAUGGGUUGUAAACUGCUUUUGUAUGGGGAUAAAGUCAAUCACGUGUGAUUGUUUGCAGGUACCAUACGAAUAAGGACCGGCUAAUUCCGUG